rnacentral:rRNA from 1 species
GCAGCCUGAUCCAGCCAUGCCGCGUGGGUGAAGAAGGCCUUCGGGUUGUAAAGCCCUUUUGUUGGGAAAGAAAAGCAGUCGGUUAAUACCCGAUUGUUCUGACGGUACCCAAAGAAUAAGCACCGGCUAACUUCGUGCCAGCAGCCGCGGUAAUACGAAGGGUGCAAGCGUUACUCGGAAUUACUGGGCGUAAAGCGUGCGUAGGUGGUGGUUUAAGUCCGUUGUGAAAGCCCUGGGCUCAACCUGGGAAUUGCAGUGGAUACUGGGUCACUAGAGUGUGGUAGAGGGUAGCGGAAUUCCCGGUGUAGCAGUGAAAUGCGUAGAGAUCGGGAGGAACAUCUGUGGCGAAGGCGGCUACCUGGACCAACACUGACACUGAGGCACGAAAGCGUGGGGAGCAAACAGGAUUAGAUACCCUGGUAGUCCACGCCCUAAACGAUGCGAACUGGAUGUUGGGUGCAAUUUGGCACGCAGUAUCGAAGCUAACGCGUUAAGUUCGCCGCCUGGGGAGUACGGUCGCAAGACUGAAACUCAAAGGAAUUGACGGGGGCCCGCACAAGCGGUGGAGUAUGUGGUUUAAUUCGAUGCAACGCGAAGAACCUUACCUGGUCUUGACAUCCACGGAACUUUCCAGA